AAAACCAAUUUACAGCCUGACUGCGGUCCAGAGAGUAUAUCAGAUCCAGAUGGUGCUGUUGGGAAUUUGGGAAACAAACUCCUGAUUCUGCUGGCCUUUCUGUUUUUACAUCUUCCUCUACCUUGAGGGACCAGGAUGACGACGCAUACUGUACAGACACGGCAGCUACUCCAGAGCCAAAGAUAUGCUGAUCUUUCCUAUUGUAACCAGCCAUGAAUCAGGGAUGUGGUUUUUCCGUAUAAAUACGGUUUUGUGUAUUUUCCGCCUCUGAGGGACGACCCGCUGACUUUUUAUGUGUUGCGGUGAGAAUCUGAGUUUGGUAGUGCUGUCAUAAAAUUCACAACGGUUGUGUUGUAAUUGUAUAAUAUGCUGUAGUGUGACGCGCUACAUGUCUGCUGUUACAGUAACGUUACUGUUUUUAGUUGAUUCACUGUUAGUGCUGCGGUGGUUUGAGCCGCUUUAAUUUGCAUUUGGGAGCGCAACAUUCCUCAGAAACAUUUGUAAAUCUGUUUUUGUUUACAAAGAAGUUUCAGUGUCACAUGAUCUUCAGAAAUCAUUCUAAUAUGCUGAUUUUCUGCUCAAGAAACAUUUCUGAUUAUUAUCAAUGUUGAAAACAG